rnacentral:rRNA from 1 species
CCUACGGGUGGCUGCAGUGGGGAAUAUUGCACAAUGGGCGCAAGCCUGAUGCAGCCAUGCCGCGUGUGUGAAGAAGGCCUUCGGGUUGUAAAGCACUUUCAGCGGGGAGGAAGGCGUUAAGGUUAAUAACCUUGGCGAUUGACGUUACCCGCAGAAGAAGCACCGGCUAACUCCGUGCCAGCAGCCGCGGUAAUACGGAGGGUGCAAGCGUGAAUCGGAAUUACUGGGCGUAAAGCGCACGCAGGCGGUCUGUCAAGUCGGAUGUGAAAUCCCCGGGCUCAACCUGGGAACUGCAUUCGAAACUGGCAGGCUAGAGUCUUGUAGAGGGGGGUAGAAUUCCAGGUGUAGCGGUGAAAUGCGUAGAGAUCUGGAGGAAUACCGGUGGCGAAGGCGGCCCCCUGGACAAAGACUGACGCUCAGGUGCGAAAGCGUGGGGAGCAAACAGGAUUAGAUACCCCAGUAGUC